CAGGAAGAACAUCGGUGGCGAAGGCGCUCUGCUGGACCAUAACUGACACUCAGGGACGAAAGCUAGGGGAGCGAAUGGGAUUAGAUACCCCAGUAGUCCUAGCCGUAAACGAUGGAUACUAGGUGUUGUCUGUAUCGACCCGGACAGUGCCGUAGCUAACGCGUUAAGUAUCCCGCCUGGGGAGUACGCACGCAAGUGUGAAACUCAAAGGAAUUGACGGGGGCCCGCACAAGCGGUGGAGUAUGUGGUUUAAUUCGAUGCAACGCGAAGAACCUUACCAGGUCUUGACAUCUUUUGAUCACCUGAGAGAUCAGGUUUCCCCUUCGGGGGCAAAAUGACAGGUGGUGCAUGGUUGUCGUCAGCUCGUGUCGUGAGAUGUUGGGUUAAGUCCCGCAACGAGCGCAACCCUUAUGACUAGUUGCCAGCAUUUAGUUGGGCACUCUAGUAAGACUGCCGGUGACAGACCGGAGGAAG
rnacentral:rRNA from 1 species